rnacentral:piRNA from 1 species
UCACACAGGCAAGCUCCUCACUCACUC